GGGAUUGUGGCUCUGUGGCAGAGCGCUUCCCUCACAAGUAUGAGGCACUGAGUUCGAUCCUCAGCACCA
rnacentral:tRNA from 1 species